rnacentral:pre_miRNA from 1 species
CUAAGUACUAGUGCCGCAGGAGUACAUUCGACCUCCUGCUGCUCAAGUGCUUAUCA